rnacentral:RNase_P_RNA from 1 species
GUCUGCUGAGCGGUCGCUUGGCGCGUGCUGCGCUAAGAGGAAAGUCCGGGCAGCGAAGGAUACGGCAGUCGCUAACGGCGACCGGGGGCAACCCUAGGGAAAGUGCCACAGAAACGAAACUACCUUAGUGUUUGAUAAAUACUAAGGAAAAGGUGAAACGAGCGAGGUAAGAGCUCGCAGUUGCCUGCGGUGACGCAGACAAGAGGUAAACCCUGCUGGCUGCAAGGAGAUUUACACUAAAAGUGAUCCGCUUGUAAAUCGAUAACCGCUUGAUUUGCUUGGCAACAAGCAAACUAGAUAGAUGAUCGCUCUCGACAAAACCCGGCUUAUAGGCAGGCUG